CUCAGCGAAGCAUUGAGAAAAAAGAAAACAGAGGAAAACACCUGUGACUGGGCCAAACUACCAACUUUUAGUUCCGUUAAGACAACGAAACGAGAACACUCUAAGGACCUGACUCUUUGCGGUAAGAACCUUAAUGAAAUAGAAACUCAUCUCAGCAAAGAGCAGAGAAAAAGAAAAAGGGAGGAAAACACUUCUGGUAACUCGUCAGAACCAAGUUUUACUUGUGUUAAGAAAGCAAAACGAGAUGACUGUAAGGACCUGUGCAGUAUGAUCCUUACCGAAAUAGAAAAUCAUGAGGAUGCAUGGCCUUUUCGUCUUCCUGUAAACUUGAACUUUGUUCCUGGUUAUACCAAAGUUAUUAAGAAGCCUAUGGAUUUUUCCACAAUUAGAGAGAAAUUAAUUAGUGGACAAGAAAGAGAAUCAGGUUUAUCGCACCAAAAAAGCACAGACGCCACAGUGCUUCCAAUGGAAGGGCAGAUCCUCGUAGUGUUUCUCUGUGAAGGGAUAACACGUGCUGUUUUGUUGUUGGGAUCAUCAUAAUCCAUUGCUUGAGAAAACAGCACGGUUGAAAAGAGAAGAGAAAGAGGAAAUGGGGAAGAUUUAACACAGAGUGGCCUGUCCUGGGAUGUACGUGAAGGGUCCAGGGCAGCUGUAAUGUGUAUCGUGCAUAGGAGGCAUUGACAUUAUUUCUAAUGAAACUAAGUUGUUUUGGAUGUGGGUCAUAGGGUACUACAAGUGCUACAAUUGGUCAGAAAAGUUAAACUAGUCAAGUGGAAUGAGUUCUGGGCUGGAACUGUGAUUUAAGUCAAACCGGAAAUUGGAUGGGGGGAGAAAUGCUAGUUAGUUGAAAUAUAUCUUGAUCUUCUGAGAAAUCUGUUUUUUCCAUUUAACCUGUCUAUAUCCUUUAUAGUCCAGAACACAUGUAAGUUUUAAAAUGUUCCAUUUGUAAGAGGAUAUAAGGUGUUUUAUUUCUGCUUAAAUGCAAUUAUCUUUUUUUCUCUUACCUUUUCAGUUUUACUUUUUAUUUUACCUUUUAUUAUCAUUUCAUUUGUUUACAAAACAAAGCCACCCUACAAAAGAACCUCUAAAUCAUGUGUUUUCUUUCAGGUAUCCAAACCUGGAAUCCUUUGCUGUCGAUGUCAGGCUUGUUUUUGACAACUGUGAAGCAUUUAAUCAAGAUGAUUCUGAUACAGGCAGAGCUGGCCACAGUAUGAGGAGGUAUUUUGAGAAAAAGUGGACAGAUAUUCUCAAAGUGAGCCGAAGCUACAAUAAUCUCUUUUUUCCUUUUCAAUAAGGGCGAAUAAGACCAGCAAUGUCAACUAUAUUUUACAUAAAUGUGCAAGGCACACGCAUAAUGACUUUUUAUCUUAGUAAAAGUAUCUCACACAAAAACAGUAUCAGAAAAAUGAUACCAUUUUUAAAGGCUUCACUCCUGCAACAACCAAGGCCCUUGGUUAUUGGUUUGUGUGAUUUAUCAGCUAAUUUAGGUAGAACAGGGAAGCACACCCAAAGAAUUUUCAAAGGUAAAGGUGUUACAGAGUAACAGCAAUUAAAAUAUAUCAAAUCGCACUGAAUAUUCAACACCAGAGCUCUAAUGUGGGAGAUGGUUCUCCUUUCCCUCUCAAUAAAUAUCUACUUUUCCUUUUUUUAA